CAAAAAGUCUAAAGGUAAACACCACCUACUACUCGUUUCACCACCCUAUUAUUGAAAUUUCGUUGCUUCUAAAACCAUUUUUGCACAACGAAACUGUAUUUGGAGGAAGAACCUUAUGGUUAAAAUCGCAUGAAAUCUCGCGAAUGAAAUACAAAAAAUCAAAGAUCCAACACUGAAAUCCGUUCAAAGACCAGUUUCACAGACUACUACUGGAACUUUUAGUGAUGGCCCACCAGGAUUUACGAUCCGGAACAGGUAAAACUUUCCGUGGGCCGAGAAAGUUUCACCUUAUUGGCUGUAGUAGCCUGCAUCCAAUCGCAAGUAGACAUAUCAUAUCGUCAUAUUUAAGUUCCCCUCUACUAAGUACGCUACCACAGUGCGUCUGUCACCAAAAGUUAUAACUAGGGCAGUGGCAGACGGAAGCCUGAAGCAAUUUUUAGGAUUUACCGUCAAAAUCAUUUCCACAAAUCUUUCGGUAAACAACAAAUGCAAGUAAAGAAUGACAAGAUUGUAUUUGAUGCUUCACUAUUUGGCAAGAGGUUUCAAGCUGAAAUCGUGAGCCAUUCGGCACAAGUCACACCAGCCGCUCUUGGGUGAGAGAACCGCUUGAUAAACUUUCUUCCAUUCAAAGUAUCUCGAAUAGAAUUCCGGAUUUCUGUCGAGAAACAAAAGAU